CCGUGGUUAGUCCUCAGUGGUUAGGACGUUUGAUGUCUGAUCGGAAGGUUGUUAGUUCAAAUCCCAGCACCACCAA